AUGAGAGUGUUGAAUGAGCCAGGCCUGCGGGGCUUGGGAACAGGGACGUGCUGGGCUGUAGAGCUUGGCUGGGGUCCCCACCUGGCCCAUGAGGGUCCUCAGGCUGUCUAUGCCCACACACCUCACAGUCUGCUCCCUCCUCAGCUCGUGUUCCUAGGACUCUGGGCAGCAGAAGAGAUGAGCUCCUCGCUGCUGCUGACCUGCGAUUCUCAGGCCAGCUUGGUGGUUGACGUCUAUGGCCAGAACCAGGCAGUCAGCUACACUACUCCAAGGGUGAGGUUCAGAGCACGUUUGCCUUGGGCGUGGAGGAGCAUCAUUUUCACAUCAGCACCCAUCUGGCAGCUGCUAAGGCCAGUCUCACCAACUUCAUGAAGCUGGAACAUUCCUUCCUGCAGGUGUGUGGAGGACAGCUCAGGCCAAGGGCAUGCUGGGGUUGGGGUGGGGGGCUCCUGGGACAGCCCUUGGAGAAAAAAGAAAUUGUCCUAAUGUCCUGGUUCCUGGGAGGAAGGGCAGGCAAGCCUGUGAAAUGGACAAAAUUUGCUGCAGUAGAUUAUCAGCUGGUGUCUUUAUCCAUCUCUUCUUCCUUUUGCUUGAUUUAUUGAACAUCUACUAGGUACCAGGCACUAUUUCAGAAGAUGGGGUGUGACCUAAAAUGGAACUGAUUAAUCCCUCCUCUCAUCAAUUGUGUACUGAAGUGGGGGAGAUUAACUACUCAAAAUAACACAAAUAGAUAGAUAGUAAGAUAUGGAGAAAAUGUACUGAAGUGACUGCGUCAACAGGGAGUGUAUUUAGAUUAGGUGGCCAGGAAAGGCUCCACUGAGGAGGUGGUGCUUGAGCUAGCCUUGGAUGAUAAGUGCAGCCAUUUGAAAAUCUACGGGAAGGCCAGGUGUGGUGGUUCAUGCCUGCAAUCCUAGCACUUUGGGAGGCUGAGGUGGGUGGAUCACCUGAGGUCAGGAGUUCAAGACCAGCCUGACCAAUAUGGAGAAACCCCGUGUGUAUUAAAAAAAAAAAUACAAAGUUAGCCAGAAUCAGGCAUCCCUGGAAGGGGCUGUCAUUCGUGGUCUGUGCAGCCAUGCAGACUGUCAGUUUCUGUGUGAGAAACCCCCUGAGCACAGAGAAGAGCCCAACCCCAGACCCACCAGGUGCAG
rnacentral:lncRNA from 1 species